GCUACAUACAUUGUCAAUUAAUUCGGUAGCACACUCCCAGUUCACCAUACUAGAGUACGUUCAAUGCUGGCCAGGCUGGUGAUAGAAUUUUUAAGCUGUUUCCACCCUUCUAUGUUGAAAGCCUACUGCUUCCAAAUUAUAUAUUCUUUUCUUUCAUUGUACUAAGCCAAGGUGGAGACUGGGAAACGAAGAACUUACACAAAUGAGGAAAUGGGCAGAACAAAGCCCUGUAUGUUGUACCUACGACUUCCAUUUCUUGUCGUAUUUGAUCGAGUACCAAUGUAUAAGGUGCAAAGUGCACCAGUUUUAGGCCCUUUUAGGUAUUGUUGGAGUGUUGAAAAAAGUUUUUUUUUCUUAAUGUCUAGAUUUACUUUCUAAUUCUAUAAAAAAAAUAUUGUAGAUUCUUGAGUGAGGACACUCAGUAGAACAGUGGCCUUGUACAGUUUUUUUGGAAGUUCCUGCCCCAUUUAGUUGAAUUAAUUAUGCAGUAUUCCAAUUCCACAUAUGUGCUCGCUGUCACAUUUUUUCUGGCCGUAUAAUUUUCAAAUGCUGAACAUUUUGACCCCACUUCUUUUUUGCAGAAUGCUUUGAUUGAUCCUGACCGAUUCUGUACAGCAUCAAUAACAUAAUACUGUUGCAGAUGGGCACAUCUGCUAGAAUUGAGGAUUAUCACCAUAAAGUUAACCAUUUUUGUGAAAAGAAAUGUGGACAUCCAUCGCUGCUCUAUGUUUCUGUAGAUUCUACACGAUUUGCUGCAUACAUGUAUUGAAUCUUGGUAAUGGCAUUAAGUUGAGAAGUCCUAGGGAAAACAUUGCCCGUUUCUUUGAGCUUGCGGAAGGGAUCAUAUACUGAAAGACAUUGUUGUAUAAUUUGUUCUUAUUUCUCAGUCGACAGAAGAUGUAGAUUCCAUUCCGCUACUUGAGAAUAGAUGCAGGAAGCCACAUCCGUAGCAUAGGUUAUCUGAUGAACACAUCUUGGUCUGACUGAAUUUGUGUUCUGCAUUCUGAUUUUCAUUUCGAUGUAAUCUUAUA